rnacentral:rRNA from 1 species
UUCUUGGAGAGUUUGAUCCUGGCUCAGGACGAACGCUGGCGGCGUGCCUAAUACAUGCAAGUCGAGCGAAUCUUAAGGUGCUUGCACCUUUUGGUUAGCGGCGGACGGGUGAGUAACACGUGGGCAACCUGCCUGUAAGACUGGGAUAACUUCGGGAAACCGGAGCUAAUACCGGAUAAUCCUUUUCCUCUCAUGAGGAAAAGCUGAAAGUCGGUUUACGCUGACACUUACAGAUGGGCCCGCGGCGCAUUAGCUAGUUGGUGAGGUAACGGCUCACCAAGGCGACGAUGCGUAGCCGACCUGAGAGGGUGAUCGGCCACACUGGGACUGAGACACGGCCCAGACUCCUACGGGAGGCAGCAGUAGGGAAUCUUCCGCAAUGGACGAAAGUCUGACGGAGCAACGCCGCGUGAGCGAUGAAGGCCUUCGGGUCGUAAAGCUCUGUUGUUAGGGAAGAACAAGUACCGGAGUAACUGCCGGUACCUUGACGGUACCUAACCAGAAAGCCACGGCUAACUACGUGCCAGCAGCCGCGGUAAUACGUAGGUGGCAAGCGUUGU